ACAGCAGCAGCCGCGGGAAAACGUAGGUGGCAAGCGUUGUCCGGAAUUAUUGGGCGUAAAGCGCGCGCAGGUGGUUUAAUAAGUCUGAUGUGAAAGCCCACGGCUCAACCGUGGAGGGUCAUUGGAAACUGUUAAACUUGAGUGCAGGAGAGAAAAGUGGAAUUCCUAGUGUAGCGGUGAAAUGCGUAGAGAUUAGGAGGAACACCAGUGGCGAAGGCGGCUUUUUGGCCUGUAACUGACACUGAGGCGCGAAAGCGUGGGGAGCAAACAGGAUUAGAUACCCCUGUAGUCCCUGUCUCUUAUAC
rnacentral:rRNA from 1 species